rnacentral:rRNA from 1 species
CCUACGGGUGGCAGCAGUGGGGAAUAUUGCACAAUGGGGGAAACCCUGAUGCAGCGACGCCGCGUGAGUGAAGAAGUAUUUCGGUAUGUAAAGCUCUAUCAGCAGGGAAGAAAAUGACGGUACCUAACUAAUAAGCCCCGGCUAACUCCGUGCCAGCAGCCGCGGUAAUACGUAGGGGGCAAGCGUUACCCGGAUUUACUGGGUGUAAAGGGAGCGUAGGCGGGAGCCCAAGUCAGAGGUGAAAUGCCGGGGCUUAACCCUGGAACUGCUUUUGAAACUGUUCAGCUAGAGUGCAGGAGAGGUAGGUGGAAUUCCUAGUGUAGCGGUGAAAUGCGUAGAGAUUAGGAGGAACACCAGUGGCGAAGGCGGCCUACUGGACCGUAACUGACGUUGAGGCUCGAAAGCGUGGGGAGCAAACAGGAUUAGAUACCCGGGUAGUC